rnacentral:rRNA from 1 species
AUACGUAGGUGACAAGCGUUAUCCGGAUUUACUGGGCGUAAAGGGCGUGUAGGCGGUCUUGCAAGUCAGAAGUGAAAUUCCUGAGCUCAACUCGGGCGCUGCUUCUGAAACUGCAGGACUUGAGUGCUGGAGGGGAUAGCGGAAUUCCUAGUGGAGCGGUAAAAUGCGCAGAUAUUAGGAAGAACACCGGGGGCGAAGGCGGCUAUCUGGACAGUAACUGACGCUGAGGCGCGAAAGCGUGGGGAGCAAACAGGAUUAUAUACCCUGGUAGUCCACGCUGUAAACGAUGAAUACCAGGUGUAGGGGGUAUCGACUCCCUCUGUGCCGCAGUUAACACAAUAAGUAUUCCGCCUGGGGAGUACGGCCGCAAGGUUGAAACUCAAAGGAAUUGACGGGG